AUACGGAGGGUGCGAGCGUUAAUCGGAAUUACUGGGCGUAAAGCGCGCGUAGGCGGCUUAUUAAGUCAGAUGUGAAAUCCCCGGGCUCAACCUGGGAACUGCAUCUGAUACUGGUAAGCUAGAGUUUUGGAGAGGGAAGUAGAAUUUCAGGUGUAGCGGUGAAAUGCAUAGAGAUCUGAAGGAAUACCAGUGGCGAAGGCGACUUCCUGGCCAAAAACUGACGCUGAGGUGCGAAAGCGUGGGUAGCAAACGGGAUUAGAAACCCUUGUAGUCC
rnacentral:rRNA from 1 species